rnacentral:lncRNA from 1 species
UCUAGGAGAGAGUAAAGAGAAGAAGAAGAGGGUCUUCUUCUAGGGUUGUUAGUUUCAUCUCUUUUUUUCCUACAUCUUGAGUUUUUCUGAGAGCAUCUCAGAUCUAAAACUCCUCCUCCUACUUCUCAUCUUUGGAAGAGCCCAAAUCAAGAAGGAGGCACCUGAUCAACCAUCGAAGAAGGAUCAGUGCAGUACUAGCAUACUGUGCUUAUUUCCUGAAGCAGGACUUCUGGUCAAGAUUCGUGGGCUCGUGUGGAUGACUCCUAG